GACCGAGUACAUCAUCGAUGUCAUCUCCGCGGCGCCGGCGGGCACGACCUGGGCAGUCGGCACAGAGAUCAACCUCGUUCGCCGGCUCCAGGCGCGGAUGCCGGACAAGACGAUCUUCUGCCUGGACCCUGUCAUCUGCCCCUGUUCGACGAUGUACCGCAUCCACCCUGCCUACAUGCUCUGGGUGCUCGAACACCUGGAUCGUGGUGAGGUCGUCAACGAGAUCACGGUCGAUCCGGUGAAUGCCUCGCAGGCGCGCGUCGCCCUUGACCGCAUGCUCG
rnacentral:misc_RNA from 1 species